rnacentral:misc_RNA from 1 species
CUUAUCUUAGCCUUAUCUGAGAUUUAUUUAUAAUGAAUUAUAAUUAUGAAAAAAAUGUGCUUUUGUGUGUUUGUGCAAAGUCAAUUGGAAAGUUUUCCAAAAUUCAGAAGGUUAACAAGAACUUCAUAUUUUCUGUUUUAUUCGGGGUUUUUUUUUAUAUUUCAAUCCAAUGUAUUCUAGGGAAUCUUAGGGUUUGUUUACUUGUGAAAAAUAAUUUUUUAUUUUUUAAGAAAAUUUUAAAUUUUUGUGGAAAAUAAUGGAAAAUAUAAAAAACAUGUUUAUUCAAUUUUCCAAUUCAAAAAAAAUAAAAAAAAUCAUAUUUUCAUAAUUAAAAAAAUUAUUAUAAAAUAUAUUUAAAA